CGGGGAUUGGCCUAAUUGGUAAGGCGCACGAUUCGGGUUCGUGAGAUUGGCAGUUCAAGUCUGCCAUCCCCGACCA
rnacentral:tRNA from 1 species